rnacentral:rRNA from 1 species
UACGUAGGGGGCAAGCGUUGUCCGGAAUCAUUGGGCGUAAAGCGCGUGUAGGCGGUCCGGUGAGUCCGCUGUGAAAGUCGGGGGCUCAACCCUCGGCUGCCGGUGGAUACUGUCGGGCUUGAGUACGGAAGAGGCGAGUGGAAUUCCUGGUGUAGCGGUGAAAUGCGCAGAUAUCAGGAGGAACACCAAUUGCGAAGGCAGCUCGCUGGGACGUUACUGACGCUGAGACGCGAAAGCGUGGGGAGCAAACAGG